GUAUGCGGGGAGUGACAUCGUCGAAGCAGCACCGGCAACUUGGAGAGCGCUUUGCGAACGCGUCGUACCAUUCAAAAGUGGCGAGGCUGUGACACACAACAGUGCCCACAUAACAGAGGAGCCACCAGACCCCUUGGCUAUGCCUGCGGUAGCGCAACAUGUAAUCUGGAUGGUUGGGUCAGGUUACCGCAUUAUUGACUUGGAAACCAGUGAGGUCUCUGGAUGCAAGUGAAGCUACCGAGGGAAGCAUGUGUGCAUCGCUUGUGCUGCUGGCCAUCCUCUGCAAAAGUGAAGGCUGGCUGUCAGUGCUUGGAGGACUUUGUUACUCUGUGUUGACUACUUCACACUUGCUGCCAUGUCUGCAAGCUUAUGCAAAAAGACCGGCUGGAUGCUUGGUAGGAAGUAGUAUGUAACCGCAGUGGUACUGUGCUGUGUUUUUGUACAUUACAAAGUGAAGGACAGUAUUUGUGCUGUUAUUAAGAAGUAUAAAUUGUGUUUUGCCA